rnacentral:rRNA from 2 species
UUUGUAAGUGAAUCAGGGCGCAUGGUGGAUGCCUUGGCAUCGAGA